GAUGAACGCUGGCGGCGUGCCUAAUACAUGCAAGUCGAGCGAACAGACGAGAGUGCUUGCACUCUCUGACGUUAGCGGCGGACGGGUGAGUAACACGUGGGUAACCUACCUAUAAGACUGGGAUAACUUCGGGAAACCGGAGCUAAUACCGGAUAAUAUUUAGCUUCGCAUGAAGCAAUAGUGAAAGACGGUUCUGCUGUCACUUAUAGAUGGACCCGCGGUGUAUUAGCUAGUUGGUGGGGUAACGGCUCACCAAGGCAACGAUCCAUAGCCGACCUGAGAGGGUGAUAGGCCACACUGGGACUGAGACACGGCCCAGACUCCUACGGGAGGCAGCAGUAGGGAAUCUUCCGCAAUGGACGAAAGUCUGACGGAGCAAUGCCGCGUGAGUGAAGAAGGUUUUCGGAUCGUAAAACUCUGUUGUAAGGGAAGAACAAGUACGUUAGUAACUGAACGUAGCUUGACGGUACCUUACCAGAAAGCCACGGCUAACUACGUG
rnacentral:rRNA from 1 species